UGCCAGCAGCCGCGGUAGUACGGAGGGUGCAAGCGUUAAUCGGAAUUACUGGGCGUAAAGCGCGCGUAGGUGGUUUGAUAAGUGGGAUGUGAAAGCCACGGGCUCAACCCGGGAACUGCAUUCAAAACUGUCAAGCUAGAGUAUGGUAGAGGGAGGUAGAAUUUCCUGUGUAGCGGUGAAAUGCGUAGAUAUAGGAAGGAAUACCGGUGGCGAAGUCGGCCUCCUGGACCAAUACUGACACGAGGUGCGAAAGCGUGGGGAGCAAACAGGAUUAGAUA
rnacentral:rRNA from 1 species